rnacentral:lncRNA from 1 species
UGCAGACUGGGCUCUAUGGGGCUGCAAGCUGGAUAGAAAUCCCAGGCUUUGUGGGUCUCCCCCAGGCUCUGGAGGCUGCAGCCCAGCAAGGAAAGAGCGAGAGGCAUGUGUGGGGUGCAGCAUCACUCUGUCCCCUGACCGAGGACCCGAGACAUGGCAUUUGCCAUUUCACUUCUCUACAUCCUGAGUGUCACUCGAGUUUCAGGGAGGAAGCAGUCAUGUUCUCUGUGAGGUGCAAGCUGUAAAAACACCUUAUUUCUUUGUGUGGAGGGCACAGAUGACACCACAGCACGAGGCCAUCGGAAAACUGAGUUCACAGCUAAAAUGAUAGGUGUGGAGGUGACAGCUAUAGAUUCCAUUCUGGGGAGUGUGCAGACCUGUGUCAGCAAAAUGUCACCAAAUGAACAGCAGAUGCUCUGCAGCGCCUGGCAGUUACGUGGUGGAAAGCUGAACUUCCACUCGUGUUGGGUUUUACAGGACGGAUAUCAAUCUGCUCCCUUAUCAGCUCAGCAGCUUAUCACAGCUGCACAGAUAGGAAAGGACAAGCGGAGCCUGCACAUGCCAAGAAACAGCGACAUGGCAUGGAGCAGAAUAAUCAGGUGAACUUCAGCCCAGGAGAAAAUGAAGUCAAACUUUCUAUAGUUCUUUGAAAGAGUAUUGCCAGUGGCUGAAUUUUAUCCUGUGGAAAAGCCAAGCUGAAAGCUUCCCUUAUUUGUAUUGCUGUUGUGUCAGGGAUAAUCUAGAACUGGUUCCCAAUUGCUGCAUCGGUGCUGUGCCCAGCUCAAGGAGGAACAUCGCUGCAGUUCCUCAUCUGUCCUCCCUGUGGCACCCACCUGGGGCCACUGGAGGGGACUGGCAGUGCCUGAUGCCUGGUGGCCUCCUGCUUGUGCAAUGCACAGUGGGGCUCUCACCAGCUGCAUUUCUGCUCAUCAGUGUCUUCGUUGGGAUGCUCCUAAAGGACACCUUCUGCAAAGAAACACGUAUCUCCAAAUAACACAUAACUCCGAAUAAAAGAAGUUUCUGCCAGAACUAUGCUCUCCUGGUUCUUCUCCAGCACUCUGCUGUACU